rnacentral:rRNA from 1 species
CCUACGGGAGGCAGCAGUGAGGAAUAUUGGUCAAUGGGCGAGAGCCUGAACCAGCCAAGUCGCGUGAAGGAUGACGGCCCUACGGGUUGUAAACCUCUUUUGUCAGGGAGCAAUUGGCUCCACGCGUGGGCUUAGCGAGAGUACCUGAAGAAAAAGCAUCGGCUAACUCCGUGCCAGCAGCCGCGGUAAUACGUAGGGGGCAAGCGUUAUCCGGAUUUACUGGGUGUAAAGGGAGCGUAGGCGGCAGCACAAGUCUGGAGUGAAAUGCCGGGGCUUAACCCCGGAACUGCUUUGGAACCUGUUCAGCUAGAGUGCAGGAGAGGUAAGUGGAAUGCCUGGUGUAGCGGUGAAAUGCGUAGAUAUUAGGAGGAACACCAGUGGCGAAGGCAGCUUACUGGACUGUAACUGACGUUGAGGCUCGAAAGCGUGGGGAGUAAACAGGAUUAGAUACCCCAGUAGUC